UAUGAGGCGGGUUCGUCUGCUUACAUGGAACUUCGAAUGCUGGAUAAAACUGUUUGCAAAUGCACAUUGAGUGGAAGGUUGUCUUCCGUAUAUACCUUCGGCGUAGGUAAUUUGUUGAGCAACAUAUUUAAUAGGUACAACUCAUGGCAAAGCUGCACUUCGAUUGUCGAUUGCGUCAUUGGUCGCACAGUGUGCAGGCAGAACACCCACAUCUUCGUUUAAACGAACCUUUUUAUAGCAAACAGGUGAAACCGGGUAGGAUAAAACAACUAUCCACGAGAAGCUCGAACAUCGCACCAGGAGGCACAUGCGCGUCCUCAUAACAUCUCUGAAGUGGUUAUGUCAAGGACCAUAAUCCACCUCCUGGCUAUCUCCACAGCGAUACCGGGUGCGGAGCAAUUGGUUUACAAUAAUCACUGCCUCGACAAGCGACAACCCACCGACACACUCAGCAAGCUGCACGUAACCCCACCUUAAAAUCAAAGCCAAAUGUUCCUCCACCUACUUCACGGACCCUUCGCAACAGUGGUUCGACCGAUUUUGUAGCUAUAUCUAAUCAUGCGAGAAUAGAGAUCAGAACCACAGCCAUGGUUUAAUAUUCGUCCACAUAUCAUCUUUCAGAGUGGUAACGGAUUAAAAUGUUCAUCACUUCUCUUGACCACACUCGAUACCUAACAUACAUGCUCACCUCCAAGUGAGCACGGCAGCCCCAGAACCGUGACCCAGAUUUCCACCAAAAUCUAAGGUCCGGUCACUAAUUCAACGAUCCUUCGCAACAGUAGUUCAACGGAUCUUGUAGCAAUAUCAAACCACGCGGAAAUAGAGAUCAGAACCACAGCCAUGGUUUAAUAUUCGUCCACAUGUCAUCCUUCAGAGUGGUAACGGAUUAAAAUGUUCAUCACUUCUCUUGACCAAACAGGAUAACCUCACAGCAUUACACAAAGCGGAGUCACCCAAACAAGUGAUAUAGCAUCAGGAACAGGACUUUUCCUCAUACCGCAGUUGGAAGGGGAAUCCAAUAUUCUCAUCCUAUGCUUUCGAAACUCUAUCAUCUGUCCAUAACCCCGCCACGUUCACCGACGUCCACCCACAAAUGCGAGCUGAUUGAACCAACCAGCUCCCGCAUCAGACCCUCACAUCCUUCUGUUCACCGGACAUGUCCAACACCCCCUCCCCCCCCCGCACAGCGGACCUAGUACUCUGCUCAGAUCCAUUCUUGUUAUUCACGGAUGACCAAAGCCAUCUCCAUAGUCUAACAUGUAUAAUUUCGGUUAGUCGUCACAGCAGCACACCGACAAAAGAACAACUCAUUCGAUAUUCAUGACAGUGGAUAAUCGUCAGAGAACUUUCACUCUCAUCCACGGCAUUCGCCAUGUAAGAAGGUGUCCUAAGAUUUGCGUUUGUAUCUCAUCACUCGAUCCACCGGCGCCGGGGGCUACCACUCAACCACUCCCAACCGUACUACACCCACCACGUUGGCAAUCAUGUGCCGUCACAUUCAGAGCUCCCACCCCUCCCUCGACUCAGCUCAACUUCACAAAAGCUCCCCCGCCACACCACAUACUACCACCCCUCUACCCCAAGAGCUCAGUCUCUGACCAGUUUAUCACUCACAUAUCUCAGUAGCAGAACUGGCUUAUACUGGUAAUAAAAAAUCCUCAUAGCUCGCACCCGCACCACACCAUCUCCGCACAACGCAUUCCCACGUCUACUUGCCUCGCAUCCUCCGACAACACCGCACGCACACAAACAUGGAAAACCCUAAAACGCCCGCUCAUCGCACACUCCCAUGACCUGCAAGGAUCGGUCCCAACUAAGCUGGACGCGAAGGGACCCUCCAACGCCCUCGCACACAAGAAACUGAAAGCACAAACACACACUCCGCCGCCGCAUGAUCUCCGAGAUGGAUCCACACAAGACAACCCGCCCAGUCCUGCCGUCAGCUCUCACCCGCCGGGCGCACUCUGAGCAUUAGGUCGGAAAGGACACCAUAUAUAGGGUUCGAUUCACAUCCUCAGGUAUCCUUUCCCCUGCAAAUAAUAUGGGCCACUGAUGUGCUCAACGUCCCCAACGGAUGGAACACUCAACGCCCAUGCUUACCAAGUAGCUUUCGUAAUCUGCACCGCAUUACCCCUUAACGGUGGUGUGUCGAACCUGACGUACGAUGUUGUUCCGGCUGUUCGGAGGACUUUGUCGAAGCGGCACAACAACUCCGUGCGCAUCCUGCAUGCGCCUCGCAGGUCCUCAUUCGUCCUUCUGACAUUCACAAGUCCCCCUUGGAUAAAGGGACACUCGAACAACUUGGAAUUUUAUGUUUUUAUCGUUUUAAGUAUUGUAAAUCUUUACCAACACAGUAAUAUCAAUGAUAUUGUGCCUUACUAUCAAUUUUAAAAUGAACAUGUAUAGCUAGACAUGCUUUAUUAUAAUUGUGGCAUUUUCUAGGUUGAAACAAUAUAAGUAAUCUUGUAGCAAUUUUCCAAAUGACAAUUCUUGAAAUAUUUAUGGUAGUUUUUGGUUCUCUAUGAUUGAUAAAUUUUUUACAAAUUGAACUUGGAACUUGUUUUUGCUUUAUUUAUUCUAUCAUAUUAUUAAUAAUUAGCUAUUGAUUUCAAUAGAUGUCACCAUAAAAAAAACUAUAAUAAGUUUUCAUACAUUUCUUAGGUUUUUAUAUUGUCAAGGACAUGAAUCUCAAAGAAAAAAAAUCUUCAGUACCUUCUUGUAUCAUUGAAGAGAACUUGAAAGUCACUUUAAAAGUAUUACAAUAUUAAAUUAGAAUGGAUAGUGCCAAAAAAAGAAACUAGAAAGUCUUUAAACAAGACUAAAGUUGAGAGUGUCAUUGAUAAGAGUAAAGAAGGCUUCAUUCUUGCCUCCAUAUAUCUUCUUAACUAAGAGCUAUGUGGUGAUGUCUUAUAUGACCUCCUAAAUGUGUUGACUUUGCAAGAUACGUUUCUUAACUAGGAAGGCAAAUUUUUCUAUAUACGCAUUACAUAAUUAGCAUGUUUUACAAGCUACCAAAACAUAGUUAACUUGUUGACCAAGUUUCUAACCUACCAAUCAACUACAAACACAUAUUAAGUCCAGCAAUAUCUAUAAAGCUUCUAGGAAGCUUCUCUAAAAGGUCUUAUGAAAUUAACUUAGUUUUAUCUACUUUUACUUAUUCCUACCUAAUCAUAUAAUUAUUUACUAAAAUACCUAUGUAUGUCUGUGACAUUAUCCUCCUUUAUAUGGACAAGUUCGUUAAAGAGUGGUCUUUAUAUGUUGCAGAAAUCCAAGAUGCAACUAAUUGUAUUUGCCACAUACUCUGCUCUUUGUUAUCUUCAAAGAUGGUUAAAAGGCCUUCUCAGCCAUUGAUAGUAUCCCAUACCAUGGCAAGAAGACCACCCUAUUAUUUGGUCAUUUUUAAAGCCUUUAUAAUUUCUUUCAAAUAAAAUAUUUAGAAUAUAAUGAGGAGUUUUUCCUACCUCUAAUAAAAUUACCAAACAUCAGGAGUCUAACAUUUUAACAUUGUGAUAUUAAACAUGUUGUAUCUUGCCAUCUAUUCCAAGAAAGAUAUGUUGUUCUAAAGGAUCUUUAUCUUGAUUUUGUUGUCUUGAAGGUUGUCACAAUCGCAAUAUUUCAUUUGGUAAGUCCACAAAUCAAAGCUCUUGAAUUAAAUCUAUUGGUUGUUGAUUCUCUAUCUCUUUAACUACAUACAAGGUACAAAGAAGGAUAGAAAAUAGAGUGUUAUCUUCCUUUAUUCUUGUUUCUUUCAUUGGAAAGAUUUGCUAUUUUUCAUCUUGGUUUUGAUAGAUGUCAUUGAAGAAAGGCUUCAACUUUCUUUGUUGUAUUUGAAUGAUUCUUUGAUGGCUCUCAUGUUCAUUCACUAAUAUCAUAUCUGUGCUAAUAAAUAAGAUAUUCCAACCUAUUUCGGCACCACCUUGAGUCUAAGACUUCUUCCACGUCAAAUUCUUGAUUAUUGUCCACUUCUAUAAGAUAAGGUGUCGUUUGUCUUCUUCUUGAGAUAUUCAUUGUGUUAUACAGCUUAAGAAAGGACACAUGAAUUAUAGUGUAGAUCUUCAUAUGCUCCAAUAAAUGAAAUUGAUAAGCAAAAAAAUUGAUUUAUUUACAAAUAGGAAAAGGUCUCAGCAUAUGAUAAUCCAACUUAUCAUAAGGACAAGUAGUCUUGAUAUUGUGAUGAAGUAAUCAUACCUUGUCACUUACGUUAAAUUAUAUUUGCUCCUUGUGAUAGGCAUCUACUUGGUCUUUUGUUGUUCUUGAGUUUCUUUUAAUUGUAUCUUCAUUGUUGCAUGUAGUUGUGAAAAAUGAUUUGUUAAAUCCUCCAUUAGAUGAUUAUCAACUUUUAAAAAAUAAAAAGUGUCAAGCUAUGGAUGAUAACUAUAAUUAGGAAAGAAAGGUGUUUAUUGAAUGGAAGAAUGUACCAAAUUAUUGUAUGCAAACUUUAUCAAUGGCAAAAGAAUUGUCCAAUCAUCUUAAUGAUAGUUGAUGGUAUAUCUCAAAUACUGUUCCAAAAUUUAAUUCACCUAUUCCAUUUGCCUAUCAGUUUGAAGAUGAAAAGCCAAAAAAAGCUUUAUAUCCACCUUUAGAAUUUUGAAUAGGAUUUUCUAAAAUCUUGAUACAAAUUGAGUCCUUCUACCCAAUAUAAUAUCCUUUGGUAAUCUAUGAUAGCAAUGAAUAUUGUCAAUGAAAAGAUUAGUUGUUUCUUGACUUGAAAUAGAUUUUGUACAUGAUACAAAAUCUGCCAUUUUAGUGAAGCAAUCUAUAAUUACAAAUAUAGAAUCAUAAGAACUCAAACUUAAAAGAUUUGUAAUAAAAUCCAUAGAAAUAGAAGACCAUGGUUGUUCAAAUACAGGCAAUGGUUGGAAAAGUCUAUAGGAUUGAUGACGAGGAGUUUUUAAUCUUGAACAAACGUGACAUGAUUGGACAAAGUCUUUUAUCACCUUCCAUAUUUAUGGCCACCAAAAAUCUCUGGAUUUAAGCUUUGAAGACUUGUUGUACCCAAAAUAUUAUGUUGCUAGAAAGUCAUGACAUGCUUGAAGAACAUAUAAAUGUGCUUGUCCUUCCGAAAUAUAUAAAUGUCCUUCAAAAUAGAGAAGGUUAUUCUUGAACUCAAACUUUGAAACAUCAUGAGACUUAAAAGAAAGAUUCUUGAUAUCAUAAAUAAGAGGAUCAGAGGACAUACUUCAUUAAAUUUGUUUGACAAAGGUCGAAUCAAUAGUCAAUGUUGAUUUCAUUACUUGAAGAUGAAAAUGCUCUAGCUUCAAGAGAAUUGUUCUUUAUUCACCAAAAGAUAUGUUUAUUUCUUUUGAUACAAGAUAAGAGCAUCUAAAAAGACCAUCUAAUAAACCUUUUUUUUUUGUAAGUUGAUAUGUGAACUUGAAAUCAAAACUUGAUAAUGACAUCUUCCAAUGGACUUGGCAACAAUUCAAAACACUUGCCAAUAUGAAAUACUUGAGGAUCUUAUAAUCUAUAUGUAUUAUGACUGGACUUCAAGUGCCUUUUGGAUAAUGACACCAUUCUUGAAAUGAAUCCAUAAUUAUAAGUUCUUUAUCUUGGAUUUCAUAGUUAAUCUCAACUACUGAAUUGUUUUUAGAAUCGAAAGCUACUGGAUGGAGUUUGUCAUCUAUUCCCAUUUGUGACAAUACUUCAUUCAAUGCAAAGUUUGAUGCAUCUAUUCCCAUAAAAAAUGCCUUAGAAAAGUUGAUGUGAUACAAAGUUGGUGCAAAAGUAAAUUCCUUCUUCAAAACAACAAAUAAUGCUUUGACUUCUUUAUUCCACUUAAGUUUUUUUUAGAAGUCAACGUGUAAGUGGAGCUACAAUUUGAAAAAAGUUCUUGAUAAAGAUUUGGUAAUAAUUAACAAAGCCCAAAAAACAUUGCACAUCUCUUACUGUUCUUGGAAUCUUCCAAUUCAUGAUAGUUUGGACCUUCUUUGGAUCCAUCAUAAGGCCUUCAUUAGAAAUGAUGUAUCCCAAAAAGUCAACUUGAGUAAUGUGGAAUACACACUUUUUCAUCUUUGCAUAUAAUCCUACAUCUUUUAGUUUUUGUAACACACAAUGAACAUGAACUUCAUCAUCUUUUGUGUUCUUAGAAUAGAUUAAAAUAUCUUUGAAAUAAUAAACAACAAAAUUAUCAAGAAACUCACAAAAGACAUCAUUCAUUAGAUGUUGAAAAGCAGUUGGUACAUUUGUGAAUAAAAAAAGGCAUGAUAUUAUAUUCAAAAUGUAUACACUUACUUUAGAAAGCAAUCUUCUAUUCAUCUCUUUGUUUGAUGCAGACCAGAAUAUAUGCUCCUCGUAGAUCUAUUUUUGUAUAGAUCUUUGCUUGAUUUACUUAAUCAAAAAGUCUUAAAAUCAAAGAAAGAAGAUACCUAUUUUUGAUGGUGAUUAUAUUAAGUCCUCAAUAAUCUAUACACAUCUAUAGAGAUCUGUCUUUUUUCUUUACAAAUAAGAUAGGAGCACUGAUUGGAAAUUUAGAAUAGCAUAUAAAAUUUUUAGCCAAAUUCUCAUCAAUGUACUUUUUGAUUGCAGCCAAUUAAUUUUGUGAUAGGCUAUAGAUUGAUUCAAAUCGUGGUUGAGUUCCUUCUUGAAUAUCAAUGGUACAAUCAUAAGAACAAUGUCUUAGAAGAAUAUUUACAUUCUUAUUUUCAAAAAUAUCCUAGAAAUCUUAAUAUUAGCUAAGAAUACUACUUGAUAUCUUCUCACCAUCAACAAUAGAUGUGGCAUAUAUAGCAAAAGAUGACCCUUCAUUUGCGGCAUGCAUAAAAGCUUUUGUACCUAUCAACAAGGGUUUGGAUAUACUAGACUUAUAGAUUUCUACUUGCCUAAUAAGACCUUGGGCUAAAUUAUGGAAAAAUUGAGAUUGCAAGAAAUCUAAUCCAUAUAAAGAUUAUAUGUUUCUAACCACAAUAAUCCUAAAAUGAUUAGAUUAAAAGGAGUCUUAAUUACAUUAAAUAUUAUUAAACUAUUGUGACUAUUAGUUGCUACUUCUACAAGAAUAGUUUUAUGUGUAACAUCUCCAAAGGAUAAUGAACGUCUAUCUAUUAUUUUUAUAUGUGUAAGUUUGAUUUUCUUAAUUAAAUAUAUAUAUCUUAUUUUUUGACAAAUUCUUCAUUUAUAAAACAAGUUGAGGCUCUUGAAUCCAAUAACGCUAAGACUUUGUGAUUUUUUGGUCAUAAAUAGACUUCUAUUGUAAAACAAGGUGAGGGAUCAGAGCAAAGAAUAUGACCUUUGAUAGAUGGUAUAUAUGAUUCUAGCUACAUUAUCUCUAUUGUAGUUGCAGCAACUCGUUUUUCAAUACAUUGUCCUCUUAGGCAAUUGUACUUCUCAUUUUAUAAUUACGUUGUUUUUUUGGACAAUGUUGAGCAAUAUGUUUAGCUUCUCUACAAUAUCAACAUAAGCCCUCUUGAUAUUGUCAAUUCUUUUCCUGCUUUGAGAGAGAUUUAAAAUGUAUCAUAUCAAUUUAUAUUAGUUCUAGCUAUGAAAAAUAAGUUUUUGAAAACUUAGCAGCUGCCGUCAUUAUUUGAUUUGUUCCUCUGCAACCAUAUAUUUGUUCACCAUGUCUUUCAAAUAAUUGAUUGUCAUAUGUAAUGGCUUGAAUAAUAAAUUGUUCUAAAGAUUUUGUCUUUGGCAUCGUCAGUAACAAGUCAUUGACAUUAUCCUUCAAUCCAUUUCGAAACUGAUUGAUAAGGGCUUUGUCAUUCCAAUCCAUAUCGCAUGUAAGGUUUAAGAAUUUAACAAAAUAUAUGGUGAUUGAUGUCAAGGAAAAAGACUCGAUGACGGAAAAUAUACACAAAAAGGCUAUCUCGAUAUAAUAAGUCAAAAUAUAAACAAGUAGGUAUACUAAAAGGAAACUCGAAUGGCUAUUGCCACAAGACAAGAAACUAAAGACUCUUGAACCUGGACUAGAAGCAAGAAAGGAGUUGACAAGAGUGAAGAAGCCUUCACUCUUGUCUCUAUAUAUACUAUCUAACUAGGGGCUACGUGGCGACGUUCUAUAGGACCUCCAAUAUGUGUUGACUUUGUAGGACACAUGCCUUGACUUACAAGGCAAGUUUUUCUAAGUGUGGGCCACAUAGUUAGCUUGAUCUUCAAGCUAACAACAUGUGUGGCACAUGGCCAACUUGUUGACCACGUUUCUAAUCCAAAAAGUCAAUUAAAGACACCAAUGAAGUCAAAGCAAUGUCUAGGAAGUUUCUAGGAAGCUUCUAUAUUAAAUAUUAUAGAAUUAACUUACUUUUAUCUACUUUUACUUACUUCUACCUAUUUCUAUAUGUAAUUAUUAGCUUACAUGAUUAUGGCCGUGACAUUACCCCCCCUUCUAGAGACGAGUUCCACGAGGAGCGGUCAUCAUAUGUUGAGGAAAUCUAUGAUGCGAUGAAUUGUAUUCGCCACAUAUUUUGAUCUCUGUUCUCUUCGAAGAUGAUUGAUAGGGCCUCUCAACCAUCGGUAGUGUCCCAUACCAGGGCGGGAAGACCACCCAGUUAUUUGAUCAUUGUUGAGGCCUUCGUAACUUCCUUCGAAUAGAAUAUUCGGAACACCAUCAGGAGUUGUUCCUACCUCUAGCAAAAUCACCAAACAUCGGGAGUCCCUUCCCAAAUCGUGAUACCAAACGCGUUGUAUCUCACCAUCUGUUCGAAGAAGAACAUGUCGUUCUUGAAGAUCUUCAUCUCGAUUGCGUCGUCUUGAAGGUUGUGACAAUCGUAAUGUCUCGUCCGGCAAGUCAACAAACGAAGGUUCUUGAGUUGAAUCCGCUGGUUGUUGGCUCUUCAUCUAAUUAGCGUCACAAUUACAAAGAAGUUACAAACAAGGAUAGAAAAUUGAAUGUUAUCUUGCCUCAAUCUUGUCUCUUUUAUAAGAGAGAUUUUCAUCUUGGUUUUGAUGGAUGUCGUUGAUGAAAAACUUUGACUUUAGCUGAUGCAUUUCUUAGAUUCCUGGAUGGCUCUCAUGUGCGUUCACUAAUAUCAUAUCCGCGCCAAUGAAUAAGAUAUUCCAGCUUAUUUUGGCGCCGCCUUGAGUCUAAUAUCUCUUCCACCUCAAAUUCUUCAUUAUUAUCUACUUCUAUAGGAGGCGGUGGCAUUUAUCUUCUUCCUUGUAUAUCCACUGUCUUAUAUGGUUCAAGAAGAGACACGUGGAAUACAGGAUGGAUCUUCAUUGACUCCGGUAGAUGUAACCGAUAUGCAACUGGGUUGAUCUGUUCAGAAACAAAAAAGGGGCCAAGCCUACAAUAGUCCAACUUGUCAUAAGGUCGAGUAGUCUUGAUAUUGCGACGAAGUAGCCAUACCUUAUCACCCACGUUGAUUUGUGGUUGCUCCUUAUGAUAUAGAUCUGCGUUUAUCUUUUGUCGUUCUUGAGCUUCCUUCAAUUGCAUCUUCAUUAUUGCAUGUAACUCUGAUAACCGAUUUGCCAUAUCUUCUGCUGCAGGAUUAUCAACUUUUGAAAAAUCAAAAGUAUCAAGUCGUGGAUGAUAGCCAUAAUUGGCAAAGAAAGGUGUUUAUUGCGUGGAAGAAUGUACCGUAUUAUUAUAAGCAAACUCUGCCAAUGGCAGAAGGGUUGUCCAAUCAUCUUGUUGGUAGUUGAUAGUACACCUUAAAUAUUGCUCCAAGACUUGGUUUACGCGCUCUGUUUGUCCAUCAGUUUGAGGAUGGAAAGCCGAAGAUAGCUUUAUGUCCACUUUUAAAAUCUUGAAAAGGGUCCUCCAGAAUCUUGUUACAAAUUGAGUUCCCCUAUCCGAUAUGAUAUCUUUAGGUAAUCCAUGAUAGCGAUAAAUAUUAUCAAUGAAAAGCUUAGUUGUUUCUUCACUUGUGAUAGAUUUUGUACAUGGCACAAAAUGUGCCAUCUUGGUGAAACGAUCUACUAUCACAAAUAUAGAAUCAUAAGAUCUUGAGCUUAGAAGAUCUGUGAUGAAAUCCAUAGAAAUAGAAGACCAUGGUUGUUCUGGUAUAGGUAAUGGCUGAAGAAGUCCGUAAGGUCGAUGACGAGGAAUUUUUGAUCUUGAACAAAUAUCACAAGAUUGUACAAAGUCUUUGACUGACUUCCACAUUUGUGGCCACCAAAAAUCUCUUGAUAUGAGUUCCAAAGUCUUAUUAUGUCCAAAGUGCCCUGCUGCUGGAAAGUCAUGACUUGCUUGAAGAACACGUAAACGUGCUUCUCCUUCUGGAACAUAAUCCUUCUUGACGACGAUGAAUCUUUUCUUGCUCAGAUAGGGGUUUAAAACGUAUCGCAUCAAUUUGCAUGUCUUCUACUUCCGAAUGUACGUUUGGCAAAGAUGUUGAUGUUGCCAUUGAGUAAUAACGUUGAGGUUCCCGUGAAUGAUUCUCGGAUCGAAAUUCGAAAAGUCGAUUAUCACAUUUUAUCGCAAAAUCGAUUGCUUGACUCAAAGUUUGAGGAUCAGGUAAGUUGAGCAUGAAUUUCUUUACUUCGUAUUGCAAUCCAUAAAGAAAUUGACUGAUGAGUGCAGCAUCAUCUCACUUGAUGUCAAUUGCAAGUUGUCGAAAUUGUGAAGCAUACACUAUUAUUGAGUGAUUUCUUUGUCGCAGAAUUUGGAUCUUAUUUGUUGCAACACGAGUUGCAUCGUGUUCACCAUACAUAGAUCGAAACUCUGCCAAAAAAGCUUCCAAAUUGUCCAAUAUUGGAUUUCGUUGUUCAAGAAAAGAUGAAAACCACGAUAAUGCAGAACCAGAAAGUAGAGUGCCAAUAAACCUGACUUGUGAUCCUGGAGUUGGAUAGCUUUGCGGUUGAAGUUCAAUUGCCAAUUGUACUUGAUUGAUGAACCCUCGAAACUUUGAUCUUGUACCAUCAAAUUUCUCGGAUAAGGCAAUUCUUGGAUCUCUAGUGCUUACAGGGUGUUGUACAAUUGGGGAAGGAACGUGAUUUGUUGUAGAUGUUGAAGCAGCUCUAAUCAUCUCUAUAUCCCCACUUUCUGCUAUUCUUGUUCUUUCCUGUGUUGGUGAAUUGAGUUGAUGCAUCGCAAGCAUUAACUCCCUCAUUUGCUCUUGCAUUUGUGCCAUUGCACUCUUCAUUUCAACAAGCUCUGCCAUAAUGACACUAAGAAGAAAAAUUUGUUUGAUAUUGCUCAAGACAAAAGAAAAGAAAGACUUGAUAACAAAGAAGAUACUAAGAACAAUAUUAGUUUAGAAGUGGGUAAUCCGUAAACUUCUAAUACGCUUAUGUCUUGUCAAGAGAAAGGGGUAAUCCACUCUUAUUCAAGAAAAACAAAGCUCUGAUAUUGUAAGUGUACUCUUGUCAAUCUAUCAAGGACAAAGACUCGAUGAGGGAAAAUAUACACAAAAAGGCUAUCUCGUUAUAAUAAGUCAAAAUAUAAACAAGUAUGUAUAUUAAAUGGAAACAGGAAUGGCUAUUGCCACAAGACAAGAAACUAAAGACUCUUGAACUUGGACUAGGAGCAAGAAAGGAGUUGACAAGAGUGAAGAAGCCUUCACUCUUGUCUCUAUAUAUACUAUCUAACUAGGGGCUACGUGGCGACGUUCUAUAGGACCUCCAAUAUGUGUUGACUUUGUAGGACACAUGCCUUGACUUACAAGGCAAGUUUUUCUACGUGUGGGCCACAUAGUUAGCUUGAUCUUCAAGCUAACAACAUGUGUGGCACAUGGCCAACUUGUUGACCACGUUUUUAAUCCAAAAAGUCAAUUAAAGACACCUAUGAAGUCAAAGCAGCAUCUAGGAAGUUUCUAGGAAGCUUUUAUAUUAAAUAUUAUAGAUUUAACUUACUUUUAUCUACUUUUACUUACUUCUACCUAUUUCUAUAUGUAAUUAUUAGCUUACAUGAUUAUGGCCGUGACAAUUGACCAUAAUCUUUGCAAUAAAAAUAAGAGCUUGGUCUCUGCUACUCUUUCUCAAUCACUUUCUCUAAGUGUAGCUCUAAACACUUGUAGGAAUGAAUUCAAAUCAUAAAGGAAUCGCAAUUUUUUUCCAUUAAAGAUACAAACUUUGAGAGAGCACUUCUUGAUAGAAGUGUACCUAUGAAUUUUGACUUGGGUAAAUCCAUUGGAAUAUUGAAAAAGGAUCAACCUUAGAUAGAGCUUGAAUCGUUGCAAAAAUCCUCAAAAUUUUGAUCUUGUUCUAUCAAACUUGUCAAACAUACUAAUCUUUGUCCAUGUCAUACUUAUAGAAGCAAAAUUCCUUAGAUUUGGUUGUGAGAUUGAUCUACUUGCUUCCUUCAACUGCACAACUUCUUGCCGCAGACUCUGAACUUCUUUCAUAUGCAUAGGCAUGGUACCUCUAUGAUUCAUGUUCAAAAUAUGUGAGAUUUCCACUCUUAGAAUAUUGACAAGCUCAUGAAGAUCUGGAAUAGUAACAAAUCUAUAUUCAUUUGUACUAAGAAGAACAUCCAUAAUAUUUUCUUCCAUAGACAACUCAAAAAAAUUCAAAAAGUUAAAUUAGAAGAGGAUAAUCUGCAACCUCUAAUAAAAAUUUCAACAAAGAUGGAUAAUCUACUCUCUUUAGGAAAAAGAUCAGUGUUAGAAAAUAAGAUUUUUUGUUUAAAGGUGCGUAGUCUACAACCUUCAAAACACAACAAUAGAAGUGGAAUAAUCCAUUCACUUCUAAAAUAAUACAAAAAUAGUAUGUUAGUACUUUUGUCAAACUAUUAAAGAUAUUAUUAUUAAAAAAAGAAAAACUUCAAUAUACUCUUGUAUUACUAAAGAGAACUAGAAAGUCACUCAAAAGGUUAUAUAAUAUUAAACUAGAAUAGCUAGUACCAAAAACAAGAAGAUUAAAAAGUCUUCAAACAAGAAUAAGGACUAGAAAGGCAUUGACAAGAGUGAAGAAGUCUUUACUCUUGCUUCCAUAUAUAUUCUUAACUAGAAGCUAUGUAGCAAUAUCCUAUAGAAUCUCUAAAAUGUAUUGACUUUGCAAGACAAGUUUUUUAACUUGCAAGGCAAGUUUUUUAUAUGUGCAUGACAUAUUUAGCAUAUUUUGUAAGUUACCAACACAUGGUUAACUUAUUAACCAAGUUUCUAACCUAUCAAUCAACUACAAACACAUGUAUAAUCAAGGUGCAUCUAUGAAGCUUUUAAGAAGCUUUCCUAAAAGGUCUUAUAAAAUUAACCUACUUUUAUCUACUUUUAUCUAUUCUUACCUAAUCAUAUAACUAUCUACUAGAAUACAUAUGUAUGUCCAUGACACAUAUGGCUCCUAUAUAAUUUUACUUAUAUGGUAUAUCAAUGCCACUUUAUAAGAUAUUCUAUUUUAUUUUUGUGUUGUUUAUAGUCCAAAACUUCUUUAACUUCAAACUAUUGAUUGUUAUUGAAUUUUAGAACUAAAGUAAUAAUUUUCUUCUAAUUAUAUUUUUUUUCUUUAAUAGCUUAAGAAGUGAGACAAAAAAAAUAAGAAAAAUAUUUAAUAAUUCAAGUAGAUAUAAUCAAUAUGCAAUUAAAUUAAUUUAUUAUCUUAUGAGAAAUAAUUAAAGUCUAUAAUAAUUUAAUUUAUCUAUUUAAUUUAAUUAGAAAACUUAAAAUAUUUGAUUUUAUUUGAUUUGAUUUUAUAAAAUAAUAAUUUUAAAUAUUUAAUCGAUAUCUUAUAUCUAAAAUAAAUAAUUUAUAUUAGUUUCUUUUUUAUAUUUAAUUUUUAAGUCUUUGAUUUUAAUUCCUUAAUCUUUGAUGAUUUCAUUUUUUAUUGCAUAUUUUAGGCCAUCAAUUUUAGACAUCAAUAUUUAUAUUAUAAUUAUUAUUUUUAAUAAUAAAAAUAUUAUUUUUAUUAUUUAAAAAAAUUAUAAUAUUUAUUCAUUUAUAUAGUAUAAAAGAUUCAAUGUACUUUGUCUUAAUAUAUAAUAUGUAUAUUAUAUAUGUUAUUUUAUAAUUGAUUACAUAUAUCUUCUAUUUUUUAAAUUUAAUUCCUUAAAAGUAAAUAAAUAAAUAAAUAAAUAAAUUUUACUUGAAUUGAUAUAUAAAAAAUGUUGAAAUAAAUAUUAUCUAUUUAUGAAUUUUGUAGAUGCAUAAGAUGUCUUUAUACCUAGAAAUCAACUUUGAAAAAUUGUACUUCAAAAGCCUUAUCAAAGUCUUAAGCAUGGUAAAAAAUACCAUCCAUUAGAAGCUUUGCUAUUUAGAAAUAGUAUAAAGUAAGAAGAGGUAAUAAAAUAGAUGAUAUCAUAUUUUUUAUUGAAUGAAUAAAUGUUUUAGUUCAUAUCUUCAUUAAAAUCAUCAUGAAAUCUUCUAAUUUGAAUCUAAUUAUUCACCAUGGUUGCAAAACAUUAUUCUAUUUUUAAAUUCUUUGCUAUUGUUGUUGCUCAUUAUUUAGAGGUCCAAAAAUUCAAUAUUACUACUAUAGUGAUUUAUUUGAAUAAACUUUAUAUUCAAAAAUUACAAAGGUUCAAAUAACUUCUUCUAAUAUCAUUAUUUUUUUAUUUUUUUGAAAAAAUGUGUGGCAUUAAGGAGAGUGUUUGUCAAUAAAAGAAAAACUUCAACUUAUUUUUAAACAACUCAAUUUUAUUUUCUUCUAAAACUAACUCAUAUAUAUAUAUAUAUAUAUAUAUAUAUAUAUAUAUAUAUAUAUAUAUAUAUAUAUAUAUAUAUUUCAACCACAAUAUAUUAUUUUUUAUAGUUUUUGAUAAUUAAAUUGAUGGUAUAAUAAUCUAUUUAUUUGUAUUAUAUUUAAUUUGUUAAAUUUAUAUAAUUUAAAAUAAAUUUCAAAGUUAUAAUCACAAUUUUUGAUUAUUUUUUGAGUUUUUAAAUCUAACAAUAUUGUUUAAAUUUUUAAUUUUUAUCCAUAAACAUUGGUACAUUUUAGCAAUUUUAUUUGCUUUAAUAUGCUUAAUUACAACUUUGUCUCAAUUCCAACUAAAAUUAAAACUCCAUUUUUUUUAAAAGGUGAUUUAUUAACUAACAAAUCAUACAUUUAAUGUAUCAGAUGUUUGAUGUAUGCAAUAGUUCUCAUUUGUCUAAAUACUACAUCUUCUUUUAACAUAACAAUAUAAUAACAAAAGCAUUCAAAAUAUUUCUACUAGAGUAGAUUAAAAUAAAUUCUUUGAUAUAUUAAAUAUGCAAUACUACUUAGUAUCUAAAUCUGAAAAAAUACAAUAAAACAUUCAUGUUCACCUUUAAGGCUUUUUGUUUUAAUUUUGCAAGCAAUCUAGAUGAUUUCAAGAGUUACAAAGGAUACAUUUUCUUCUUAGUUGAUAGAGCCAUAUCAUGGAUCAAUAAAUAACAAGUGUAUAUUGCAAACUCUACCAUUCUUGUUGAACUUUUAGCUAUGGCUAAGACAUCAAAAAAAAGAUAUUUAUUUAUCUUAUUUUUUAUACAUCAUUUUAACAUCCCAAUUCUACCAAUAAUUAUUUUAUGAAAAAAUAAAUGAAUAAUAUUUCUUGCCAAUAAUAUUAGUUAUUAUAAAAAAUAAAAUAUAUUAAUAUAAAAUACAUUUUUUAUUUUUUAGCUUUGGAAGAAAUAAGAAAUCAAUUUUAUUUAUGUUUUGACAUAAAACCAAAUUAUCAAUAUUUUUUUAAGGCUAUUUUUUAAGAUUGUUUUAUUUAAUUUUAUUUUUUAUUAAAAAUUAUUACUUUUAAUGCAAAUUCAAUAGUAGAUGAAAUAUAAUAUUUGGCUAUAAAAAAUCUAUAUAGAUAAAAAUAAGUAUUACAUUAUUACAUUCAUUUUAUUUAGUACAAGAAAAAAUAAAUAACAACCAACAAUUGCUACUACUAUAUAUAUAUAUAUAUAUAUAUAUAUAUAUAUAUCUAUAUAUAUUUAUUUAUACAAUUGAUUUGAUAACAUGAAUAAGUAAAAAUAGAUAAAAGUAGAUAAAUUUAAUAAUAUCUUAUAAAAAAGAUUCAUAUAUGUACUUUUGAUUUUAUACAUAUCUAUAGAUGAUUGAUAGAUUAGAAACUUAAUCAAUAAAUUGGUGUCAAGGACAAAGACUCGAUGAGGGAAAAUAUACACAAAAAGGCUAUCUCGAUAUAAUAAGUCAAAAUAUAAACAAGUAGGUAUACUAAAAGGAAACUCGAAUGGCUAUUGCCACAAGACAAGAAACUAAAGACUCUUGAACCUGGACUAGAAGCAAGAAAGGAGUUGACAAGAGUGAAGAAGCCUUCACUCUUGUCUCUAUAUAUACUAUCUAACUAGGGGCUACGUGGCGACGUUCUAUAGGACCUCCAAUAUGUGUUGACUUUGUAGGACACAUGCCUUGACUUACAAGGCAAGUUUUUCUAAGUGUGGGCCACAUAGUUAGCUUGAUCUUCAAGCUAACAACAUGUGUGGCACAUGGCCAACUUGUUGACCACGUUUCUAAUCCAAAAAGUCAAUUAAAGACACCAAUGAAGUCAAAGCAAUGUCUAGGAAGUUUCUAGGAAGCUUCUAUAUUAAAUAUUAUAGAAUUAACUUACUUUUAUCUACUUUUACUUACUUCUACCUAUUUCUAUAUGUAAUUAUUAGCUUACAUGAUUAUGGCCGUGACAUUAUCCCCCCUUCUAGAGACGAGUUCCACGAGGAGCGGUCAUCAUAUGUUGAGGAAAUCUAUGAUGCGAUGAAUUGUAUUCGCCACAUAUUUUGAUCUCUGUUCUCUUCGAAGAUGAUUGAUAGGGCCUCUCAACCAUCGGUAGUGUCCCAUACCAGGGCGGGAAGACCACCCAAAUAUUUGAUCAUUGUUGAGGCCUUCGUAACUUCCUUCGAAUAGAAUAUUCGGAACACCAUCAGGAGUUGUUCCUAUCUCUAGCAAAAUCACCAAACAUCGGGAGUCCCUUCCCAAAUCGUGAUACCAAACGCGUUGUAUCUCACCAUCUGUUCGAAGAAGAACAUGUCAUUCUUGAAGAUCUUCAUCUCGAUUGCGUCGUCUUGAAGGUUGUGACAAUCGUAAUGUCUCGUCCGGCAAGUCAACAAACGAAGGUUCUAGAGUUGAAUCCGCUGGUUGUUGGCUCUCCAUCUAAUUAGCGUCACAAUUACAAAGAAGUUACAAACAAGGAUAGAAAAUUGAAUGUUAUCUUGCCUCAAUCUUGUCUCUUUUAUAAGAGAGAUUUUCAUCUUGGUUUUGAUGGAUGUCGUUGAUGAAAAACUUUGACUUUAGCUGAUGCAUUUCCUAGAUUCCUGGAUGGCUCCCAUGUGCGUUCACUAAUAUCAUAUCCGCGCCAAUGAAUAAGAUAUUCCAGCUUAUUUUGGCGCCGCCUUGAGUCUAAUAUCUCUUCCACCUCAAAUUCUUCAUUAUUAUCUACUUCUAUAGGAGGCGGUGGCAUUUAUCUUCUUCCUUGUAUAUCCACUGUCUUAUAUGGUUCAAGAAGAGACACGUGGAAUACAGGAUGGAUCUUCAUUGACUCCGGUAGAUGUAACCGAUAUGCAACUGGGUUGAUCUGUUCAGAAACAAAAAAGGGGCCAAGCCUACAAUAGUCCAACUUGUCAUAAGGUCGAGUAGUCUUGAUAUUGCGACGAAGUAGCCAUACCUUAUCACCCACGUUGAUUUGUGGUUGCUCCUUAUGAUAUAGAUCUGCGUUUAUCUUUUGUCGUUCUUGAGCUUCCUUCAAUUGCAUCUUCAUUAUUGCAUGUAACUCUGAUAACCGAUUUGCCAUAUCUUCUGCUGCAGGAUUAUCAACUUUUGAAAAAUCAAAAGUAUCAAGUCGUGGAUGAUAGCCAUAAUUGGCAAAGAAAGGUGUUUGUUGCAUGGAAGAAUGUAUCGUAUUAUUAUAAGCAAACUCUGCCAAUGGCAGAAGGGUUGUCCAAUCAUCUUGUUGGUAGUUGAUAGUACACCUUAAAUAUUGCUCCAAGACUUGGUUUACGCGCUCUGUUUGUCCAUCAGUUUGAGGAUGGAAAGCCGAAGAUAGCUUUAUGUCCACUUUUAAAAUCUUGAAAAGGGUCCUCCAGAAUCUUGUUACAAAUUGAGUUCCCCUAUCCGAUAUGAUAUCUUUAGGUAAUCCAUGAUAGCGAUAAAUAUUAUCAAUGAAAAGCUUGGUUGUUUCUUCACUUGUGAUAGAUUUUGUACAUGGCACAAAAUGUGCCAUCUUGGUGAAACGAUCUACUAUCACAAAUAUAGAAUCAUAAGAUCUUGAGCUUAGAAGAUCUGUGAUGAAAUCCAUAGAAAUAGAAGACCAUGGUUGUUCUGGUAUAGGUAAUGGCUGAAGAAGUCCGUAAGGUCGAUGACGAGGAAUUUUUGAUCUUGAACAAAUAUCACAAGAUUGUACAAAGUCUUUGACUGACUUCCACAUUUGUGGCCACCAAAAAUCUCUUGAUAUGAGUUCCAAAGUCUUAUUAUGUCCAAAGUGCCCUGCUGCUGGAAAGUCAUGACUUGCUUGAAGAACACGUAAACGUGCUUCUCCUUCUGGAACAUAUAGGCGUCCUUCAAAAUAUAAUAGAUUAUUCUUGAACUCGAACUUAGAAGGAUCAUGAGACUUGAAAGAAUUAUUCUCGAUAUCAUAAACAAGAGGGUCUGAGGACAUAUUGGACUGGAUUUGCUUGAGAAAAGUUGAAUCAACAGUCAAUGUUGAUUUCAUUGCUCGGAGAUGAAAUUGCUCCGGUUUCAAGAGGACCGUUCUUUGUUGCUCAAAAGCUACAUCUCCUUCUUUUGGUGCAAAAUAAGAACGUCUAGAUAGGGCAUCGGACAAACCUUGUUGUUUUCCUGGUCGAUAAGAGAUAAUGAACUCGAAUCUUGACAAAGACAUACUCCAACGAGCUUGACGACGAUUCAACACGCGUGCUGACAUGAAAUACUCGAGGUUCUUGUGAUCUGUAUACACAAUGACUGGACUAGAAGCGCCUUCUAGAUAAUGAUGCCAUUCUUGAAAGGAAUCCACGAUCGCAAGAAGUUCUUUAUCGUGGAUCUCAUAAUUGAUCUCGGCUGUUGAGAAUUUUCUUGAAUGAAAAGCUAUCGGAUGAAGUUUGUGAUCUGAUCCCAUUUGUGAUAAAACUGCACCCAAGGCAAAAUCUGAUGCAUCUGUUUCCAUAAAAAAUGCCUUGGAAAAGUCAAUACGAUAUAAGACUGGUGCAGAGACAAACGAUGUCUUCAAGGCUUCAAAUGCUGCUUUCGCUUCUUGAUUCCAUUGGAAUUUAUCUUUACUAGUCAAGCGUGUAAGUGGAGCUACAACUCGUGAGAAAUCUUUGAUAAAGAUCUAAUAGUAAUUGACAAAUCCCAAGAAACAUUGGACAUCUCUUACUGUCCUUGGAAUCUUCCAAUCCAUGAUUGUUUGGACUUUCUUAGAAUCCAUCAUGAGACCAUCAUUUGAAAUGAUGUAUCCUAAAAAGUCAACUUGAGUAGUGUGAAAUACACACUUUUCCAUCUUGGCGUACAAUCCUGCAUCUCUAAAUUUUUGUAAUACUUGACGAACAUAUAUUUCAUGUUCUUCGACAUUCUUAGAAUAGAUCAGGAUAUCGUCUAGAUAGCAGACGACAAAAUUAUCUAAGAAUUCACGAAAUACAUCAUUCAUGAGAUGUUGAAAAGCAGCUAGUGCAUUCGUGAGUCCAAAGGGCAUGACAUUAUAUUCGAAAUGUCCAUACCUGGUUCAAAAAGCAGUCUUCCAUUCAUGUCCUUCUUUGAUCCGUACUAGAUUAUAUGCUCCUCUUAGAUCUAUUUUUGUAUAGAUCUUAGCUUGAUUCAACUGGUCAAGGAGUCCUGAUAUCAAAGGUAAUGGAUACCUGUUCUUGAUUGUGAUCUUGUUGAGUCCUCGAUAAUCAACACACAUUCGUAAAGAUCCAUCUUUUUUCUUUACGAAUAGAAUUGGAGCUCCUGCUGGAGAUUUUGAAUGGCGUAUGAAAUUCUUUGCUAAAUUCUCGUCAAUAUAUGUCUUGAGUUCAGCCAACUCAUCUUGGGAUAAACUGUAAAUUGGUCCAAAUGGUCAUUGAGUUCCUUCCUUGAGGUCGAUUGAACAAUCAUAUGGGCGAUGCUCAAGAAGAAUAUCUGCAUUCUUUUUCUCAAAAAUGUCUUGAUACUCCUGAUAUUGACUUGGAAUGCCACUUGAAGUCUUUACGUUUUCAAAAAUAGGUGCAGCAUAAAUAGCAAAAGUUGAUCCUUCUUUUGCUGCGUGUAUAAAUGCUUUUGUACCUAUCAGUACGGGUUUUACUAUAUUAGACCUAUAAUUUUUUACUUGGUUGGUAGAACUAUUAAUAACGCUCUGGAAAAAGUCAAGUUUACGCGAAUUCCAAUCUAUUCGAGUGUUAUAUUUUUCUAGCCAGGAUAAACCUAAAAUAACUGGAUUGGACGUGGAUUUAAUUAUGUUAAAAGCUAUGUAGCUAUCAUGACCGUCUAUUGUUACUUUUAUAGGAUGAGUUUCAUGAGUGACAUCUCCAGAAGACAAGGGACGACCAUCUAUGACUUCUACAUGUACUGGUUUAGGUUUCUAUAUAAAAGGUAUUUUAUGACUUUUAACAAAUUGUUCAUCUAAAAAACAUGUUGAGGCUCCCGAAUCUAAUAAAGCAGAGGCUUUGUAAUUCUUAGGUCCUAAAUAUAAGUCUAUUAUAUAACAAGAAGAGGGUUCUGAGGAGAGGAUAGGACCUUCAUUAGGAAUUGUACAAGGUUCCAGCUGCACGGUCCCUAUUGUAGCUGGACAAAUCUGUUUUCCGACAUGUUGUCUUCUUUGACCGCCGUACCCUUCAUUUUAUAGUUGCGUCGUUUCUUUGGACAAUGUUGAGCAGUGUGCUUAGAUUCUCCGCAAUAUAAACAUAAUCCUUCUUGACGACGAUGAUCUUUUCUUGCUCAGUUAGGGGUUUAAAACGUACCGCGUCAAUUUGCAUGUCUUCUACUUCCGAAUGUACGUUUGGCAAAGAUGUUGAUGUUGCCAUUGAGUAAUAACGUUGAGGUUCCCGUGAAUGAUUCUCGGAUCGAAAUUCGAAAAGUCGAUUAUCACAUUUUAUCGCAAAAUCGAUUGCUUGACUCAAAGUUUGAGGAUCAGGUAAGUUGAGCAUGAAUUUCUUUACUUCGUAUUGCAAUCCAUAAAGAAAUUGACUGAUGAGUGCAGCAUCAUCCCACUUGAUGUCAAUUGCAAGUUGUCGAAAUUGUGAAGCAUACACUAUUAUUGAGUGAUUUCUUUGUCACAGAAUUUGGAUCUUAUUUGUUGCAACACGAGUUGCAUCGUGUUCACCAUACAUAGAUCGAAACUCUGCCAAAAAAGCUUCCAAAUUGUCCAAUAUUGGAUUUCGUUGUUCAAGAAAAGAUGAAAACCACGAUAAUGCAGAACCAGAAAGUAGAGUGCCAAUAAACCUGACUUGUGAUCCUGGAGUUGGAUAGCUUUGCGGUUGAAGUUCAAUUGCCAAUUGUACUUGAUUGAUGAACCCUCGAAACUUUGAUCUUGUACCAUCAAAUUUCUCGGAUAAGGCAAUUCUUGGAUCUCUAGUGCUUACAGGGUGUUGUACAAUUGGGGAAGGAACGUGAUUUGUUGUAGAUGUUGAAGCAGCUCUAAUCAUCUCUAUAUCCCCACUUUCUGCUAUUCUUGUUCUUUCCUGUAUUGGUGAAUUGAGUUGAUGCAUCGCAAGCAUUAACUCCCUCAUUUGCUCUUGCAUUUGUGCCAUUGCACUCUUCAUUUCAACAAGCUCUGCCAUAAUGACACUAAGAAGAAAAAUUUGUUUGAUAUUGCUCAAGACAAAAGAAAAGAAAGACUUGAUAACAAAGAAGAUACUAAGAACAAUAUCAGUUUAGAAGUGGGUAAUCCGUAAACUCCUAAUACGCUUAUGUCUUGUCAAGAGAAAGGGGUAAUCCACUCUUAUUCAAGAAAAACAAAGCUCUGAUAUUGUAAGUGUACUCUUGUCAAUCUAUCAAGGACAAAGACUCGAUGAGGGAAAAUAUACACAAAAAGGCUAUCUCGUUAUAAUAAAUCAAAAUAUAAACAAGUAUGUAUAUUAAAUGGAAACAGGAAUGGCUAUUGCCACAAGACAAGAAACUAAAGACUCUUGAACUUGGACUAGGAGCAAGAAAGGAGUUGACAAGAGUGAAGAAGCCUUUUCCCGUUUCCCGUCUCACUGCAGCAUUCUUGUCCUUUGUACUACUGCACAAUUCAGGCUUCGUGAAUCGUUUCUCUCAUUGGCAAAGCCCAUCCAGUCCAUCAACAACCACUGCGCACAACAUCUAAACCUACUGCUGAAUCGCAUUGCUGCAUUCUCCACAAUCAAACACCAUCACGACUCCCACCAGUACACUGCCACAGACCCACAAAAACCCUAGAACUCACCUCCCAUUUGCCGCACCUAUGACACACAUGUACCACUGCCUCAACUCCUUCAAUUUCUCCUUUCCCUCCUACUCCAUCACACACGCAUCACGCCCCAAAGAAUCUCCAUGGCGAAGCCGAUGCACCUUCCACCCUCGCAAUCUUCCAAUCUCACCAGUCGUCUGCUUACAUCCUCUCUCAUCACAUGGCGCAAGACCAUGGCCAGAUGAUCACGAAACUAAAAUAAGUUCUCUCAUCCCCCUUCCAAACACGCGCCCUCCACAACGGCCCUACUCCACUGUCCGUAUCACUCACUAAUUUCCAGACCAAAUCCCACCAACCCCCCGGCGCCCCGCAACUGCUCCUCCUCCGAAACCAACACCGAGAGAGAUGGUGUGGAAGAGUGUGUGGGCAAAAGCGAGGGUUAGCUAGCAAGUAGGAUGACGACAAUGACAACAGAAAAAAAACGGAGAAGACUGUGAUAUGAUAUGCAACAUUUGGAUGAUGUUUUGUUGACAACGUGUUUUUCAUCCACCGAGGACGCGACACACAACGGUUGCGUAUUGUCUCCUUUUGAAAAUUUUAAGUGAACUUGGGGUAUUAGUACACGCUUUUGGGUCAAACAAUAGUUAUUCUAAAUAGUUACUUUAGAGUGGGGGUAUUCUUUUCUAACGAGAAAUAGCCAAAGGAAAGGUAAUAACGUGUUGAGAAAACAUAAGUUAGAUCGAAUAAACUUUUAAUUUAUACGCUUAUUAUUAGAGGGUCAUGUGAAGACAAUAUUCAAAUUUUUCAUCUUGUGGGUUAAUGACCCUAUUAUAAAAUUCAGAAAAUAAGAAAAAUUAAAAUAAUAUCAAAGUUUGAAGUUGCGCAUAGUUACUUGAAAGCAUUCUUGGCACCUUCCAACUAAAGCGCUGAAGGAUUAUUUCACCAUGAUUCCUAGAACACGUGAUGAAUUCCUAUUCUCAAAAUACAGCAUUGUAAUUAUUGCGUUCAAAUACCCAUUUUUUUUUUGCAAAUAAUAUUCGAAUCCAUAUUAAUUUCAAUUUAAAAAAAUGUAAUCCCAACUCAAUCUCAAUGCAUUGAAACUAGUGGAUUGAAUUCAGAUAUGUAUAGUACCAACAAGGUCAAAGGAGGAAUACAGCAACAGAAUACCUAGCAUUUCUCAUAGUCAAGCACAUCGUUGUCGAUUUGCAGAACAUACACUAUGUACACUGUAUUUACAGGUUUACAAGCAACUCAAAGAUGUUCAUUACUUUCUUCACACAAAUGCUUUCAUAAAUGAACCCGACAGUUUUGAGUAUUACGAGAGGUAGUCGAAAGCUACACAAUACGGUCGUUUUUUAUGCAAUCUACUAAGGAAUGGAAUAAAUGUAACUGGAGAUGGAAGCCAACAAAACGAGUGUGUGAGUGCGUGAGUGAAUGAGUGAGUGAGUGAGUCUGAAUGGGAUAUGCAAAGACUGACAAAUCGUAUAAAUCGCCCAACAAUCUCAUGCGGCUCCAACAGGGACGACGACGACGCUCGUGGGCCGGAGUGGGCAAAAUCGAGCAUUUCAUCAUCCUGUACUCAACUUUCACACCGAAGCUUCUCGAUGGUUGACUGACUCCAUUGCUGUCGUAUACUCACUCUCCCGUUUCCCGUCUCACUGCAGCAUUCUUGUCCUUUAUACUACUGCACAAUUCAGGCUUCGUGAAUCGUUUCUCUCACUGGCAAUAGCGCGGGGACUGUAUUUGUUGUCCAUCCAGCUUCGCAAGUCGGGAUUAAGUGUUUGUCGCCAUCACUACUGAUCGAUGUGUUUUUGUUGAGGUUUCGUGUCCGGAACAGCUAUUGUUUUGUGGAGGGCAUGAGGGGGUGGUGUUCGUGGGAGUGAUAUUUAUAUUUUUUUCUGUGAUGUAGAAGGAGUAGCGAGAAUGGACGUUAAGGGUCGUGCAGUGGUGGAUGUAUGAUAGGUGCGGCAAAUCAGAGGUGAGUGUUAGGGUUUUAACGGGAUUGGGGUGGAGACGUGGCGAAGGUGCCGAGAGUGGUGAUGGUAGUGCAUUGUGGAUUUUCACACUGUUCGGUUGAAGAACAAUCUCAGUUCCUUGUUGUGCCUCGGGUUUCGAAAGUCAGCAUGGGUUUGCGGUGUGACUGCAGAGGAGCAGCAGGAAUAGGAGAGGCUACUGCGUAUGCCUGAAUUCUGAUACAAAUCCUAGCGAGCGUAUCAGUUGAGCGAAUUGAGUUGGACAACGGGGGAGUUGCGGAACACGCUACGAGUUAGGCAUGGUCAAUUGAGACGCCGGAACUCGGCAUUCAGCAUUCCUCAUCCGUGAGAACUACUAUUGCACGUCUUCGCCACACGCAGGUUGAAUUUGAUUAUAUUCGUGCUUGUCGCAGACACUUUCUGAAGGUUGACACGCCUACUUUAUCCUAUCCUGAUUUUCAAAGAUAUCUGUAAGGCUUGCUAUUUUAAUAGUGAGAAGUCAAAGGUUAAGGUUUUUCAUUUUGUAACCAUAUUUUGUACGCAGAAUAUAUAUAUAUAUAUAUAUAUAUAUAUAUAAAUGUGUGUGUCAGCGAAGCACUUUCAAGCAAUGAACUCUCUAGGGGCUGGAGUAGGAGAAUUUAGACGUGAAGUUUCCAGAGAGGACAUCGCUACGCUUCUUGUCGUAGCUCGGCGUAAUUUGAAUGAAGGAAAUCCGGGAGGUGCCUUACAAGCAGUAAGUGGAGUUGUGAAGUUUGAUAAUGGUUCAAACGAAACUUGGAGCAUCUCAAAUUGCAUAGAUAUCUAGAUUCCACACUGUUUCAAGACUGCAAUUUUUGAUGCCCAUCGCAUGGUUGUUUCAAUCGUUAAUUAGUAAACUAUGAGAUUAUGUUAUGUUCAUUGUUAGGGCAGUGUUGUCAGGGCUGAAUUGAAAACAAAGGUUGGGAUUCUUCUUGUGGACUCGGUGCAAAGCUCACCUUUUAAAUACUGUCAGCCGGUCUUGUCUUAGCCAACGCUUUUGAAAGACAUACGGUUAUUGUGUGUUCUCAUUUGUACAUUCAUGUCAAAUCGUAGGUCGUUGCGGCCCUGCGCAGUGUAGGCGGGGAACAAGCAGUUACUACAGCAUUGCGAAGGGCUCGGGAAGUAUACGAGAAUAACGUUCGGAUUAACGAAGCUACGGACGAACUCACAACAUUAUUCGCCCAAUGUGCCAUUGCUACACUUCCUCCGAAUAGGACUUCAGACGCACCAGAGCCUAUGGCAGUAGAAACGACGUUGCAAGAGCGAAUAAUGCUUAGCAGUUUUGAUGUUGUUAGAAGUUCCAUUCUGGCCGAAAGUGGCAGGGAACAGGUGGUUUAUGAUGCUUCGGCUGAUGGCAGUAGCUUCUUGUGUCAACAGUGUGGUGGAGUUGUUAGCAAUUCACGGAGAGAUGAGCAUCUUUCUUAUUGGUGUUCUACUGCUUUUCGAAAUUGAAGUGUACUAGUGUUCAGCAACGAUAGGAAAAUUUUGAAGAUGUUUGAUGUUGGGGUGAGUAAGAAAGUGCGCAGGUGAAGCACAUAACGAUCAAUCAAAAAAACAAACUUUGGAUAGAUUUAGGUAGUUGAUGUAGUAUUUAGAGAACAUAAUUAAUAGAAAGCUGAGGAUUUCGACAAAUUCCUCUAUAUUGAAGAAUGCAAACUGCAACAGCUGCUCACCACAUUGUACAUCAUUACAAAUAUGGAUGAAAGCUGACAGAAGCGCUCUGCAAAUAUGAUCUUCGUCGUUGUUGGAAUUAUUCUGACGUUAUGAGUACAUUGUAGGUUCCUGAGUUGCUAUCUUGUGCAAGUGUGCGUGCAUGCUAAUGAAUGCGUAUUCAUUAACCUUGUAUGCUUUUUUCAUAUGGUAUAUGCUUGUAUGUUCUGGGGUUGCAUAGAUAUUAUUGUACUUCAUAUGAGACGGGUUGACAGAUCUUGUUCUAAGAAUUUCAACAUGCUUUCCUACACUGACAUUCUGAUAAAAGAAAUGAAAGUGUGCAUUAUUUGUUGCUGCGGACCCUCACACGUUGCUAGUUCAUCUUAAUUUUUUUCAUACGUGAUUGUUUUCAAAUUAAAGAGAUGUGAAUUUUAUCAACUUUGACAUUCUCCUAGAAAAAUAAUUGUGUAUAAAAACAAAUUCUUCUAACUCCAAUUGGGCAAAACAUGUGAACAUGUUCAUAAUUUUAAAAACAUCAACUAAUUUGAUGGUAGAAUGUAGAUCACAUUCUAAACCUGUAAGCAUUUAUAAAUUGACAUAAAUGGAUAAAUAAAUCUUUCUGAUUCAUCCUCAAUUGGCAGAAUGACAUUUAAUACUUUCAUACAAAACAUCAUUAAGAAGUUUCUAAGUAACCUGAUAACGAUUCAACUGUUGGAUGUUUAAAAACAUCUUAAAUUCGAUAUAAAGAUGUAAAGACAAUUAAUUUGAUACAAAUAUAUUAUAUUUAAAUAUGUUUCUUUUGAUACAGAUAACAAACAAUAUAAUGGCAGAUAUAUUAUGUAGAAAACACUUUUCUUUCAAAGAUGCAGUAAAAAAACCAAUUAAAUCAGAAACAAUAUAUCCACCAAAAACAAUCUACAACACUCGAGUUUAAAUACUAAAAUUUAUACAAUUUGAUAGAUACUAAUGACUCAUUCCAUGUUGGACGAAAUUUGACUUAAAUUUACAAAUAUAAUUAAAUUACCGAUAUAAUUCAAACCAAAGUCUAUCACCAAACUAACCUAAUCUAAAAAACAAACAAUACUUAAUAAUUCUGUCUAUAGAACCAAUCCUAAAAUUACAAACUUCUUCAUCAAAGUAACAAAAAGACUUAUUCUUAAAUCCUCUUGACAAAAGUUUAUUGUAUAAACCCCUACAGAAUUUGAAACCUAAGUAAAUUUAUAUCAGAUAGUAAAUAUAGACAUCGACACAAACGAAACCUUAGAAAUAUAAACAAAAAAAUAAUAAAAAAUUAUUCAAAAAACAUCCCACGAACAUUUGUAAAACCAAACAAGCAGACAUCAACUAUUCUAUAACAAUGGGUUUAUGCAACAGCAAAGAGGAACAAAAGAACAAUCUCAAUUCAACCCUUAAAAAGAGACAGCAGGACCAAAAAUAUUUCAAAUAGUAGUUGCACAAUUCAAGGGAGAAACAUCACCCCAUCAUAAAAGAAAACAUUUAAACACAUUCUCACCACCACUCAGCCUUCUAAUCACUGCGAAGAACAUCAAAACUUCAACCCCAACUUAAGCUCAAGCUCGAACGAUAAGAAACACAGAAUUCCAAGUUGUUCGAGUGUCCCUUUAUCCAAGGGGGACUUGUGAAUGUCAGAAGGACGAAUGAGGACCUGCGAGGCGCAUGCAGGAUGCGCACGGAGUUGUUGUGCCGCUUCGACAAAGUCCUCCGAACAGCCGGAACAACAUCGUACGUCAGGUUCGACACACCACCGUUAAGGGGUAAUGCGGUGCAGAUUACGAAAGCUACUUGGUAAGCAUGGGCGUUGAGUGUUCCAUCCGUUGGGGACGUUGAGCACAUCAGUGGCCCAUAUUAUUUGCAGGGGAAAGGAUACCUGAGGAUGUGAAUCGAACCCUAUAUAUGGUGUCCUUUCCGACCUAAUGCUCAGAGUGCGCCCGGCGGGUGAGAGCUGACGGCAGGACUGGGCGGGUUGUCUUGUGUGGAUCCAUCUCGGAGAUCAUGCGGCGGCGGAGUGUGUGUUUGUGCUUUCAGUUUCUUGUGUGCGAGGGCGUUGGAGGGUCCCUUCGCGUCCAGCUUAGUUGGGACCGAUCCUUGCAGGUCAUGGGAGUGUGCGAUGAGCGGGCGUUUUAGGGUUUUCCAUGUUUGUGUGCGUGCGGUGUUGUCGGAGGAUGCGAGGCAAGUAGACGUGGGAAUGCGUUGUGCGGAGAUGGUGUGGUGCGGGUGCGAGCUAUGAGGAUUUUUUAUUACCAGUAUAAGCCAGUUCUGCUACUGAGAUAUGUGAGUGAUAAACUGGUCAGAGACUGAGCUCUUGGGGUAGAGGGGUGGUAGUAUGUGGUGUGGCGGGGGAGCUUUUGUGAAGUUGAGCUGAGUCGAGGGAGGGGUGGGAGCUCUGAAUGUGACGGCACAUGAUUGCCAACGUGGUGGGUGUAGUACGGUUGGGAGUGGUUGAGUGGUAGCCCCCGGCGCCGGUGGAUCGAGUGAUGAGAUACAAACGCAAAUCUUAGGACACCUUCUUACAUGGCGAAUGCCGUGGAUGAGAGUGAAAGUUCUCUGACGAUUAUCCACUGUCAUGAAUAUCGAAUGAGUUGUUCUUUUGUCGGUGUGCUGCUGUGACGACUAACCGAAAUUAUACAUGUUAGACUAUGGAGAUGGCUUUGGUCAUCCGUGAAUAACAAGAAUGGAUCUGAGCAGAGUACUAGGUCCGCUGUGCGGGGGGGGGAGGGGGUGUGGACAUUCCGGGAACAGAAGGAUGGAGGUCUAUGCGAGCGUNNNNNNNNNNNNNNNNNNNNNNNNNNNNNNNNNNNNNNNNNNNNNNNNNNNNNNNNNNNNNNNNNNNNNNNNNNNNNNNNNNNNNNNNNNNNNNNNNNNNGAACGCAAUGAAAUGUUGUAUUGGGUGGACUAUCUUGUAUUUAUUCAUUGUCAAACAACUGAUAUCUGCUUUAAGAGUAAACAAAGGAGAAAUAUUUGUAUGAGAAGGGAAAUGAGCGACGUAGUAGUCACUCUUCAAUGCAGAUUAGAGUACAAAAAUGAUGUUGGUAAAAUGCAUCAUAGCCUCAAUUUCAUCAUAUGUACGAGUCAUACGAAGUAGCUCUUGUGGUAGCCGUCCAGAGACAAUGAUGCUUUUGGCCUGAUCAACAAAUUGUAAACUGUUUCUAACAUGACAUCCUCGAAUGAAGAAGCUUGUAGUUGAACUUACAAUAGUUACUUCAUAUGAAUAAUAUGAAUAAUAGUCUAAAAAUCGAAGUAACGUGUGAGAAAUGUCCGUCCAAUCUGUACAGUAAAGCUGCCAUCAUCAAACAAGUCUCCCAUUUCUGUCCUGUUUUCUCUUGUGGAUUAUCAACUUGAUGGACAUAUUUCUUAGAUUACUCCAUUCUCAAUGAGAUACAAUUCCUCCCUCUAUAAGUUGUAUUCUAUAAGUUGUAUUUACAGCUCUAUAACUUGACAAAGCAUAGAACUGAUUAUUAUUUUUUUAUCUUUCUUUUUGAGCAGUAUAAGAUAGUGGAUGCAUUGGGAAGAAGAUAAAAAUCCCAUGUUGUAGUACUAGACAAGGAUGAAGAAUUUGACGAGAAAGAAGUUUCAAAUGGAAGGUUGUGUCAAAAUAGGUCAGAACGGUUCGUUUGAUGUAGACCAUUGAAAAACCAAAACUUAUAUAUGGUAAUAUAAACAAUACAACAGUGGAAUAUGUCCACUUUGUUGUCAAACUUAAAUAUUGUCUUAUACUU
rnacentral:lncRNA from 1 species